GAAGCAGCUGCUCAGGUCCUAACCUGGCCCCUGCCCCCCAUCAAGAAGGCUCCUCCCUGCAAUGAGCACUGCGGGGUCUCUGGGCUUCUGUCCACUGGGCAGACACAGAACCAUGCUGGGGCUCCUUGCCCUCCUGGGGGCCCUCCAGUUUCCCUCCAGUCCGAUAUCCUUCAACUCAGAAUGGAGAAAGUUGUCAAUAACCAAGAGGACUGGGUCGUCCGCUGUAAUCACCUGUGAUAUUGUUGACAAAACCGUCAACUACAUCCACUGGUACCGACACCAAGAGGGAAAGGCCCCACACCGCCUUCUCUACUUUUCGUUCACUGGCUCGAAGAUUGUGUUAGAAGACGGAACUAGUCCAGAAAAAUACCAUGUUUAUGAAGGCUCGGGAAGGACCUGUAAAUUUGUCAUCCAAAAUCUGGCAGACAGUGAUGCUGGUGUAUAUUACUGCGCCGCCUGGGACAGCCACAGUGACUCAGACUUCCCCUCGCCUGCACAUAAUUCUGCUUGCAGCUGCCAGGUCCAGCCUUGGUACCCAGGGUGGGCCAGGCCCUGCCUCACUUCCUGCCCUGACUUCACUGUGCUCAGAAGGAAGAGAAGCCCUGAACUCAGUGUCCAGUUCCUCCCUCAUAUCCACUCUCUUCCCUCUCCCCCAACCAGCUGAGCUCCAAGACUUCCCUAAGGACUGAGCUCCCAUCUCCAGGUCUUAGGAAACAACAUGGCACA